UAUGUGAUCCAACCUCUUAAAAUAUUAAAUAAUUAUUUCAAUCACAUUUAUACUAAAUAUAUUCAGGGUUUUUUUUAUUGUCAAACUUCGAACUGUCAAUGAAAUACUUAACGAUAAUUUUAAUCUUACAAUUUUUAUUCUUGGUAUUAACAAUAGUAACUUGAGGAUGCAAGAAGUAAUCGCCGGUACCAAUCGUUUCAAGAGGCUCAUUCAAUUACCACAAGAACGCUGAAAUCUGAAGAAUAGGGAAUCGAAGAUUAUGUGAAUAAAUUUUUGUAUUCCCUUUCUACCAUAAUGAUUAGAUAGACGACAGUUAGACAAUUAAGCGGUUGAGAUGGAAAUUAUGAAGCCAAUUGUCACAAUUCUAAUGACUAAAUAAACCAAUUUGUGCUACUA